rnacentral:lncRNA from 1 species
AAUUCUUCAACACUUGCAUGUUUAACCUCUUUGGAAAAACUAAAACCUGAUGGUUCUGCCUCAACAAUCUUCAAUUGUUCUGCCUCACAAUCUUCAAUUGUUCUGCCUCACAAUCUUAAUCUUCUUUGUCAAGCAAACUCUGUAUGCCCAGUUACUUCUCAAUCACCAAUCUUUCACUCUUACCAUUUAUCAUCUAAUUCAACCAUUUUAUGUCGUUGUAAUUUACUUUCAGAAUUCCAUGGCUUUCAAUAUACCUUCAAAAUACAUACGCAGUUAAAUCUGGGCCAAAAUAUUUGCUAAUUCC